GUAUCCCACUUAAGAAUGCCAAACUGACAUUUUCAUUGAUGUCAAAUUAUUAACUGAUAAUCUAAAACGUUGACAUAUAUAAACGAUCAUUUGAUAUAUGUGAAAGUCGAUAUUAUAUAUCGGGGUAACCUAAGGUAAUAUGAUGCCCUAAAUAUUCUUCGUAGAAUUGUGCUUGAAAAUAGAACUGUACGUCUUUCUUUACUGUUCCGGGAAUUGAGGUUUGGUCACUCUUUCCUUGAAAGAGGCACCAAGAGGGAAAAUCAAAAAUAUACUUCAAAUAUAAUUCGUAGAUAUAGGCAGUAUGUAGGCAAUUCAGAGAGCAUGAUGCAAAAUAUAGGUCACGGGUCCUAACAAAGGUUUAUCUAUUGGACGAGUAUAGAUAGUUAGGACCCUGGGUCGACUGAAUAUUGAUUACAAUUGGAAGAGUCUAGGAAUUCGGCCCAUAGCCAGAAUUCAGGAUAUACAUGUAAAAGAUGAAACAGACAGAUAUUGGUUCAUGGAAUUUGAUGAUAUAAGUGCAAGAAUAAACAUGAACUGAUUUGUACAGCCUUGUGAGUUCUUCAAACAUUCACUGGGAACUAAACCAGCCCAGUUACCAUCGCCACUGUAACUGGAUGUAUCCGGAUGUUAACUGGAUGUAUCCGGAUGUUAACUGGAUGUAUCCGGAUGUUAACUGGAUGUGUCCGGAUGUUAACUGAAUGUGUCCGGAUGCUAACUGGAUGUAUCCGGAUAAUAACUGGAUGUGUCCGAUGAUAACUGGAUCCUUCCUGGUCACAUAAGGGAAUAAUGUAGUUUCUUUAUCAUUUUAGUGUGAACUCAUGACGUACAUCCUGGGUCCCUACGAGGGCUUUUUUACAACAGAUUUGCAUUACUUUAAAUUCAACUUUCAGUCUUCCAACAUUUUGUCAGACUCAAUUACAUUCAAAAAGUAGCAAUUACAUAGUUUACAACAUUAUACAAACUAUAUGUUAAAAGAGAAGAAAAAUAGAAACGUACAGGAGUAUGAAGCCAUGUCCAGGUCCAGCAGAAAUGGUAGAAUAUUAAUGCUAAGCUCAAGUGGCUUCUCCAAGAUCUGACUCGAAACUACCAAAUCACACAAAGAUGUAUAUCUUUCUUACAGACAAAAUGUGGAGGGAAAACGAGGACCAAUACAAAAAUGUUUAGGUCAAAAUCUCAACCAAUGGUAUCAUCAUAUAAUGUCAGGUGACCAAUUAGAAGGUUCCACUUAUAGAGGUAUAUGCUUACCUGUAUAUACCUAUACAGGUAAAGUGGGCUAACCACCACUCACACACGCACCUUUCAGAUCACUCUAGAUACAGGUAAAUACACACACAAUGACAUAUACAUGGUCAAUACUUGGACUACACAUUGUGAUUGGUGAAAGGUAAAAUGAUUAGCUGAUGACGAUACUAAUUGAUGCUAAUAAAAUAAUACAACACUAAGAAUUAAAACUUACUAUAUACACUAUUAAGAUUUUGACCCUGCCACAAUCUUAAUGCAGGCCUCAACAAUACCCUCAGUAUACUUUAGAUAUAGAAAUUGUAUAAUUUUCAUGUCAGUCGAGCCGAGAAAUUUCGCCUAUCGCCCUCGACAAAUGCAAUAACAUCAUCACAGAGCCGGACGAUAGACACAGGGAAGAACAACACAUAAAAGACGCUCAACCGUUGUGGCUACCACUGGCUGGGUCACUAUACCCUACGUGAAGGGAACAUCUGAGGCGUUUGCACGGGUGAAGAGGAAACACUUUUCAGCACCCAAACGAUACCACUGACAACCCUCAGACAGUUACUGUCAGCAGUCAUAUAUAAGUACUGGGAGAAAAUUUGGUACACGUCUGGAGGGACAUCAAAAGGACGUAGAGAAAAAGAGCAACAUCACAUUCACCAGAUCCACACGCAAAACAUCCGCCACCCAGUACAAUGGGACAAUACCAAGGUAGUUAAAAGGGAACAACACACAAACAUGAGACAAAUCAUGAAGCAAUAAAAAUCAGGAAAACUCAGAACAUGAACAGAGACGAGGGGGACACCAGCUGAGACCCGAUACUGACAUGACAGGGGAGGGGCGAGAUAUACACCCUACCUGUAACCUAUAUACGCUCCCUAUCGAAAGGCGAAAUGUCUCGGGUAGAGUGACAUGAAAAAUAAACAAUUUCGUCACAUCGUUGUACAGGUAAAUAAUACAAAUC
rnacentral:lncRNA from 1 species